rnacentral:rRNA from 1 species
AUUGAACGCUGGCGGAAUGCUUUACACAUGCAAGUCGAGCGGCAGCGCGGCCUUCGGGCUGGCGGCGAGCGGCGAACGGGUGAGUAAUGCAUCGGAACAUGCCCAGUCGUGGGGGAUAACACUUCGAAAGAAGUGCUAAUACCGCAUACGUCCUGAGGGGGAAAGCGGGGGAUCGCAAGACCUCUCGCGAUUGGAGUGGCCGAUGUCAGAUUAGCUAGUUGGUGGGGUAAAGGCCUACCAAGGCGACGAUCUGUAGCUGGUCUGAGAGGAUGAUCAGCCACACGGGGGCUUAGACACGGCCAAGACUCCUAAGGGAGGCAGCAGUGGGGAAUUGUGGACAAUGGGGGCAAACCUGAUACAGCCAUUCCGCGUGAGUGAAGAAGGCCUUCGGGUUGUAAAGCUCUUUCGGCAGGAACGAAACGGUGGGGUCUAACAUAGUCCGCUAAUGACGGUACCUGAAGAAGAAGCACCGGCUAACUACGUG